rnacentral:rRNA from 1 species
AGUCAACAUGCCCAGGGGACGUGGAUAACCUCGGGAAACUGAGGAUAAACCGCGAUAAGUCACUACUUCUGGAAUGGGUAAUGACUUAAAUCUAUAUGGCCCCUGGAUUGGACUGCGGCCGAUCAGGCUGUUGGUGAGGUAAUGGCCCACCAAACCUGUAACCGGUACGGGCUCUGAGAGGAGGAGCCCGGAGAUGGGCACUGAGACAAGGGCCCAGGCCCUAUGGGGCGCAGCAGGCGCGAAACCUCUGCAAUAGGCGAAAGCCUGACAGGGUUACUCUGAGUGAUUUCCGUUAAGGAGAUCUUUUGGCACCCCUAAAAAUGGUGCAGAAUAAGGGGUGGGCAAGUCUGGUGUCAGCCGCCGCGGUAAUACCAGCACCCCGAGUGGUCGGGACGUUUAUUGGGCCUAAAGCAUCCGUAGCCGGUUCUACAAGUCUUCCGUUAAAUCCACCUGCUUAACAGAUGGGCCGCGGAAGAUACUAUAGAGCUAGGAGGCGGGAGAGGCAAGCGGUACUCGAUGGGUAGGGGUAAAAUCCGUUGAUCCAUUGAAGACCACCAGUGGCGAAGGCGGCUUGCCAGAACGCGCUCGACGGUGAGGGAUGAAAGCUGGGGGAGCAAACCGGAUUAGAUACCCGGGUAGUCCCAGCUGUAAACGAUGCAGACUCGGUGAUGAAUUGGCUUUAUGCCUAUUCAGUGCCGCAGGGAAGCCGUUAAGUUUGCCGCCUGGGGAGUACGGUCGCAAGACUGAAACUUAA